UUAGAAAGAUAGGAAUUGAACC
rnacentral:tRNA from 1 species